rnacentral:misc_RNA from 1 species
UGUGGGAGCGGGCUUGCUCGCGAAUGCGGUAUUUCAGCCAACCCAUUCAUGGCUGACCCACCGCAUUCGCGAGCAAGCCCGCUCCCACA